rnacentral:tRNA from 1 species
UCCUCGGUAGCUCAAUCGGCAGAGCGUUCGGCUGUUAACCGAAGUGUUGUAGGUUCGAGUCCUACCCGAGGAG